rnacentral:rRNA from 1 species
UGCAAGUCGAGCGGACAGAUGGGAGCUUGCUCCCUGAUGUUAGCGGCGGACGGGUGAGUAACACGUGGGUAACCUGCCUGUAAGACUGGGAUAACUCCGGGAAACCGGGGCUAAUACCGGAUGGUUGUUUGAACCGCAUGGUUCAGACAUAAAAGGUGGCUUCGGCUACCACUUACAGAUGGACCCGCGGCGCAUUAGCUAGUUGGUGAGGUAACGGCUCACCAAGGCGACGAUGCGUAGCCGACCUGAGAGGGUGAUCGGCCACACUGGGACUGAGACACGGCCCAGACUCCUACGGGAGGCAGCAGUAGGGAAUCUUCCGCAAUGGACGAAAGUCUGACGGAGCAACGCCGCGUGAGUGAUGAAGGUUUUCGGAUCGUAAAGCUCUGUUGUUAGGGAAGAACAAGUGCCGUUCAAAUAGGGCGGCACCUUGACGGUACCUAACCAGAAAGCCACGGCUAACUACGUGCCAGCAGCCGCGGUAAUACGUAGGUGGCAAGCGUUGUCCGGAAUUAUUGGGCGUAAAGGGCUCGCAGGCGGUUUCUUAAGUCUGAUGUGAAAGCCCCCGGCUCAACCGGGGAGGGUCAUUGGAAACUGGGGAACUUGAGUGCAGAAGAGGAGAGUGGAAUUCCACGUGUAGCGGUGAAAUGCGUAGAGAUGUGGAGGAACACCAGUGGCGAAGGCGACUCUCUGGUCUGUAACUGACGCUGAGGAGCGAAAGCGUGGGGAGCGAACAGGAUUAGAUACCCUGGUAGUCCACGCCGUAAACGAUGAGUGCUAAGUGUUAGGGGGUUUCCGCCCCUUAGUGCCGCAGCUAACGCAUUAAGCACUCCGCC